GGCGCUGGCUGCUGGCGUUCGAGCACCGGCUGUGGCUCAGUCGAAAAGGGCGCGGUUCUUGCCAGUUCACCUCCUCCAAAGCAGGUGACAAAAAAACAAAAAUCAACCAGCUGAUGGAGGGACACUGAUACCUACACAACAACCAUGAACAAUACUAGACAGACACACACUACCAUGUUGACACCACUUAGCAUUCAGCUGGUGUCUGGACGCACCCACCCCACCAUGGUGCCCUCUUGCGUCAUAAUCUAUGAGGACACCCCAAAUACACCUGUUUGUCCUGGACCGCAAUAUGGGUCAUCGAAUCUUCUUUCUGGUCUCGCCUAGUGAUGGCCUUGAUGUCGGAGCUGGGAUUGCCUAGCUGUAGCACCAGUCCUGCAAUGGUACCGACCCUGCUUGUCGUCUACCCUAUUUCCUGUCCGUCCGUCUGAUGGAUGUUGUUGGUCACGCUAAAACAAGGUGGACAUCUAUGAUGGAGCAAGGGCCCCCACGUACCUUUUACUGAAACCUUCCUGGCCUAUGGGUGAGCUCAACCUAAGCUGAAAGGGCGCUUCCUAAUUUCCUGGCGCUAAAUAAAAUACAAGAAAUGAUGUCAGCCCUGCCUCAACAACUUUUCUAUAAUGGUUACCUUAUUUAAAACCU